rnacentral:rRNA from 1 species
AGAGUUUGAUCAUGGCUCAGGAUGAACGCUAGCGGCAGGCUUAAUACAUGCAAGUCGAGGGGCAGCGCGGGGUAGCAAUACUCUGGCGGCGACCGGCAAACGGGUGCGGAACACGUACAGAACCUUCCUUCGAGCGGGGAAUAGCCCAGAGAAAUUUGGAUUAAUACCCCAUAGCAUAUUGGAGAGGCAUCUCUCUGAUAUUAAAGAUUUAUCACUUGAAGAUGGCUGUGCGCCUGAUUAGGUAGUUGGCGGGGUAACGGCCCACCAAGCCUGCGAUCAGUAACUGGUGUGAGAGCACGACCAGUCACACGGGCACUGAGACACGGGCCCGACUCCUACGGGAGGCAGCAGUAAGGAAUAUUGGGCAAUGGAGGAAACUCUGACCCAGCCAUGCCGCGUGGAGGAUGAAGGCCCUCUGGGUUGUAAACUUCUUUUAUAUGGGACGAAAAAGGGCCUUUCCAGGCCAACUGACGGUACCAUUUGAAUAAGCACCGGCUAACUCCGUGCCAGCAGCCGCGGUAAUACGGAGGGUGCAAGCGUUAUCCGGAUUCACUGGGUUUAAAGGGUGCGUAGGUGGGUUGGUAAGUCAGUGGUGAAAUCUCCGGGCUUAACCCGGAAACUGCCAUUGAUACUAUCAGUCUUGAAUAUUGUGGAGGUCAGCGGAAUAUGUCAUGUAGCGGUGAAAUGCUUAGAUAUGACAUAGAACACCAAUUGCGAAGGC